rnacentral:rRNA from 1 species
UACAGAGGGGGCAAGCGUUGUUCGGAAUUACUGGGCGUAAAGGGCUCGUAGGUGGCCAACUAAGUCAGACGUGAAAUCCCCGGGCUCAACUUGGGAACUGCGUCUGAUACUGGAUGGCUUGAAUUCGGGAGAGGGAUGCAGAAUUCCAGGUGUAGCGGUGAAAUGCGUAGAUAUCUGGAGGAAUACCGGUGGCGAAGGCGGCAUCCUGGACCGAGAUUGACACUGAUGAGCGAAAGCUAGGGGAGCAAACGGG